UAUUUUUCCUUAGAGAAAAAGCUGAAGUGAGUUAUUAUGAUCAUUAAAAGGUUGGUAUCAUCUAGUUGGUGGAAUUCUUCCUUCUUUGAAACCAGAGACAUCACUGACUUGACCGACUCUGAAACCCGGAUACAGAGAACACGGGGGGGUGCCACUCACAGAACAAGCUUCAAGGAACUUAACAACCAAUUUGCAGAGAGAAAAGCAAGGCUUUGAGAGGAUCUAAUAAUGAUAAAGUUGUGGCCAAAUAGAGUCUGAUGCAGCAAGUAGGUGAAGAGGACAAGCACAGAGGUAAAAGCUGGAACACCGGGGUUCCCAUCCUGCCCUUGCCUCGCCCCAGGCUUAAGAUCCAAGCAGCCUCAGCCCCAUGUCAGCACUGAGCCCUUCUUCAAUGAUGACAACGGCGUAGUGAAGCUGAGUGAGAAGCUGCUGGUGG